rnacentral:rRNA from 1 species
CCCAUCAGAACUCCGAAGUUAAGCGUGCUUGGGCGAGAGUAGUACUAGUAUGGGUGACCCCCUAGGAAUUCCUCGUGUUGCAUCCC